rnacentral:tRNA from 2 species
GCGCAGGUGGUGGAACGGUAGACACGCAACGUUGAGGUCGUUGUGCCUUCGGGUGUGGGGGUUCAAAUCCCCCUCUGCGCA